rnacentral:rRNA from 1 species
UGAACGCUGGCGGCGUGCUUAACACAUGCAAGUCGAACGGAAAGGCCCAAGCUUGCUUGGGUACUCGAGUGGCGAACGGGUGAGUAACACGUGGGUGAUCUGCCCUGCACUUCGGGAUAAGCCUGGGAAACUGGGUCUAAUACCGGAUAGGACCACUUCUUGGAUGUUGUGGUGGAAAGUUUUUUCGGUGUGGGAUGAGCUCGCGGCCUAUCAGCUUGUUGGUGGGGUAAUGGCCUACCAAGGCGUCGACGGGUAGCCGGCCUGAGAGGGUGUACGGCCACAUUGGGACUGAGAUACGGCCCAGACUCCUACGGGAGGCAGCAGUGGGGAAUAUUGCACAAUGGGCGCAAGCCUGAUGCAGCGACGCCGCGUGGGGGAUGACGGCCUUCGGGUUGUAAACUCCUUUCGCUAGGGACGAAGCGUUUUUGUGACGGUACCUGGAGAAGAAGCACCGGCUAACUACGUG